UGGUAGCUCAGUUGGUAGAGCGAGGGACUGAAAAUCCCUAUGUCGAGGGUUCGAUUCCCCCCUGGA
rnacentral:tRNA from 1 species